UACAGAGGGUGCAAGCGUUAUUCGGAAUCACUGGGCGUAAAGGGCGUGUAGGUGGUUUCGCAAGUCUGGUGUGAAAGCCCCGAACUUAAUUCGGGAAGUGCAUUGGAUACUGCGAGACUUGAGUAUGGGAGAGGAAAGCGGAAUUCCAGGUGUAGAGGUGAAAUUCGUAGAUAUCUGGAGGAACAACGGUGGCGAAGGCGGCUUUCUGGACCAUUACUGACACUGAGGCGCGACAGCGUGGGGAGCAAACAGG
rnacentral:rRNA from 1 species